GGUUUCGUGGUGUAGUGGUUAUCACGUUCGUCUCACACCAAUAUCGGCGUGCACGAGAGGUCCCCGGUUCGAGACCGGGCGGAACCA